GCGCAAAGUCUGCAAAGAAUAACGCUCUUCGAUGUAAAGAGCAACCCGCCGAAUGUCGGGCCGGCACCAGCUCUCGCAUCGUUCGCGCAGCUACUGUCAACAAACGUCAGCGGUGAUGAUUCGUAAAAUUGAAGAGAAUUUGAUCGGUGCGAUUUAUUUGGAAAAUUAAUAUGUACUAAUUACUAAGUUAAUUUGUAGGUGUUACUCUGCAUGAAAUCUCGCUGCUAGGAUUAACGCCGUACCGCUGGUGUAAAACUUGUUCUAACUAGGAAAUUGAACGAGUUCUAACUAGGGCGGCUGCGACCUGGUUGGAUUUCGCACACAAACGGCAUUGUUUACCUGUUGAAGGACAAACACGAUAGGGUGACCAAUCUUUUAGCGAUUCCACAUUAAUCAACGGUGUGCUGCUCAAAAGAACCCGAAAACGUCCCAACAAUGAGAAUUACUAAUUACGUAGAAUUUAGUUUUACAUCAUGACUCUUUAAAUGAUAUUCAAUCGUUUACAUCAGAUUUCAACAUUACAUCAAGCUAGUUUACGUUUAAAACACGGUUUACGUGUCGAGUAAAUUUACACUUUUUUUUCUGUGUAUAGUGCGUCCAUCCCGGGAAUUCCCGGGACAAAAUUCCCGGGAUUUUUCCAAAACCGGGAAUUCCCGAAUCCCGGGAUUUUUAUAUUUUAUCCCGGGAAUCCCCGAAAUCGGUAAAAAAUAUCAAAUUUUGGUCAGAUUUUGUUGUGGAAAUAGAUGAACAACGAUUAAAAAAUAAAAAUAAAAUAUUAAGCAUAUAUCAGCAUUAAUUUUACUUAUAGAGAAUAAUUGUUAGAUCCGUAAAUUGCCUAGCGCUUGAAAUAUUUUCUCUUCACUUUUAUAUUCAUGAAUUUAAAUUGAAAAAAAGUAAUUUUAAAUAUUUUUUUAUGAAACAUCUUUGGCAACAAAGACGAAUGUAUCGAAUCAGAACAGCUGUUUUUGUUUAUUUUUU